CCUCCUUCCUUGGUUCACAAUGACAGUCCAACUUCUGCCAGUCCUGACUGUCAUUCAAGCCUUUUUGCUAUUUAAGAAUUUUGAGGAAGAAAACCGUCAUGUACUCAAAAUCCUGGUAAUCAGAAGUGUCUGGAGAUUUCGAGCUGUUAACAUAGAGAGGUGGCAAAAUUAUUUUCUGGGAUAUCCUUAUGGGCCUGAAUGGCAGCGGGAGUCGACAUAGCUGGUGCCUGGGCAGGUUUCCAAAGCACAGCCGAGGUGGAGAGUAGGUGAGGGCUGCAACAAAGGUCCCGACAUCUGAAGAGCACUGCACAGUUUGUCAGAGGAUUUCAGCUCCACACUCUCACUUAGUCCUCACAGCAACCCCAUGCAGUGACUGCUGUCACUUCUUUUCAUGGCUGAGAAGACUGUUGGGAGAGGAAAAAUGAAUUGCCCACUGGCAGGCAGGUAAGAGGCACAGCUGAAACUCUCACCUAGUUCUUCUGACUCCAAGCCCAUCAUCUCAGGAUUGUACCCAAGUGGCUCUUGCACCAGUAUCAGCGCCAAUGGCAGGGUCAGCAGAAAAUAGCAGAGGGGCCUGAAAACAGAUGGGAACAUCUGGAAAAGAUUCAUAAUCCACUUAGGAAAAAGGAGGGGGGAUGCACGGAGUUAGCACAUAUUAAGUGCCUGCUGUAGUCAAGCCCUGUUGGACACCAGGGACAUCUGGACCUUGACAACGGAGCGAAGGGGUGGUCCUGCCUGCACCAGGUUUCAGGUGAGGAGAUUGAGGCCCACAGAGAUCCGGGACUGGCCUCACUUAGCUGUGGCUUCUCAGGCUUCUCUGCAGCAUGGGUGUUCCUGCCUUGGCCAGAGCCGAAAUCCCAGAGCAGUGAAAGAGGAGCCAGUGUCAUGGGGCUUCUGGUUUCAGGACACACUGGAAAG
rnacentral:lncRNA from 10 species